CUUUCCUAUGGGCGGUUUAAAUGCGCGCGCCUCUUGCCGCGCAUGUGCAUUCGGAGCUGAGAGGCGGAGGGAUCCCCAGCGCCAAGGGAGUCCGGCGCUGGAGAAAGGUAAAUGCUGAAGACACACACACUCUCACGAACAGACGCAUACACACUAGCUAACAGACACACACAUUUACUGACAGAGACACACUCAGCGACAGACAUACAUACACACUCACUUACAAAACAUACACUUUCACUGACAAACACACACUCACUAACAGACAUCAAACACACUCAGUA